CCACGUCAUGUUGAAACACUGGUUUCUAUAUGAUCACCAAAGUUAAGUAAUCUUGAGUCUAAUCAGUACCUAGAUGGGUGACUGCUUCGGAAUACCAGGUGCUGUAA